rnacentral:rRNA from 1 species
ACGGAGGGUGCAAGCGUUAUCCGGAUUCACUGGGUUUAGAGGGUGCGUAGGUGGGUCUGUAAGUCAGUGGUGAAAUCUCCGAGCUUAACUCGGAAACUGCCAUUGAUACUAUAGGUCUUGAAUUAUCUGGAGGUAAGCGGAAUAUGUCAUGUAGCGGUGAAAUGCGUAGAGAUCGGGAGGAAGGCCGGUGGCGAAGGCGGCGCUCUGGAACGUACCUGACGCUGAGACACGAAAGCGUGGGGAGCAAACAGGA